rnacentral:rRNA from 1 species
CCUACGGGAGGCAGCAGUGAGGAAUAUUGGUCAAUGGGCUUACGCCUGAACCAGCCAAGUCGCGUGAGGGAAGACUGCCCUAUGGGUUGUAAACCUCUUUUGUCAGGGAGCAACGCCGGCUACGUGUAGCCGGACUGAGAGUACCUGAAGAAAAAGCAUCGGCUAACUCCGUGCCAGCAGCCGCGGUAAUACGGAGGAUGCGAGCGUUAUCCGGAUUGAUUGGGUUUAAAGGGUGCGUAGGCGGAAUGCCAAGUCAGCGGUAAAAUCGCGGGGCUCAACCUCGCUCCGCCGUUGAAACUGGCGUUCUUGAGUGGGCGGGAAGUAUGCGGAAUGCGGGGUGUAGCGGUGAAAUGCAUAGAUAUCACGCAGAACUCCGAUUGCGAAGGCAGCAUACCGGCGCCCAACUGACGCUGAAGCACGAAAGCGUGGGUAUCGAACAGGAUUAGAUACCCUGGUAGUC